UAUGGAGGAUCCAAGCGUUAUCCGGAUUCAUUGGGUUUAAAGGGUGCGUAGGCGGAAUGAUAAGUCAGUGGUGAAAUCCUGCAGCUUAACUGCAGAACUGCCAUUGAUACUGUCAAUCUUGAGUACACUUGAUGUGGGCGGAAUGUGUCAUGUAGCGGUGAAAUGCUUAGAUAUGACACAGAACACCGAUUGCGAAGGCAGCUCACAAAACUGUAACUGACGCUGAGGCACGAAAGCGUGGGUAUCAAACAGG
rnacentral:rRNA from 1 species